AUACCAUGAUGAGGACAUUUUCUCAGCAGUUCCUUGAAAUUUUUCCACGCAUCAUACAAUGAUUCUCCGCCAUUCUAAUAGAAAUUAUUGAUCUCACCCCUUAGUUU